UUUCACAAAACACCCCCAUCCUUCAUCGGCGGCACUCCUCGCCCAUCCCCUCCAAAUUCUUCAUCAGCGAUGACUCUCGCCCUUGCACUGCCGUUGCCCGAAGCUCCAUCACAGCCCUUUCUCAAUCUUUCUGUCACACCCGUUCCCCAAUCUCUCUCUUUCAGUUUCGACACCGAUGAAUUUUGUCACCCUCUCGACGCCGUUUUCUAUCCCGUCCAAUUACAUUGAUUCUCUUGCAACUGUAUCUAUUCUGUUCUCAAAACAAUUUAGGGUUUUAUUACAGAGAUAGAGAUGGCAAGCUUUAUGUGAAAGAACUCCAACUUGCUGAUUUUGAUCAAAUCUAUUCUGAAGUACCUCCUUUCAUUCUUUUCUUCCUUGUUUUUUCACUAUGAAUUUGCAAAAGGAGAGGAGAUUGUCUCUUCUAUCAUCAAGGAUGAGAAAUCUAGAUUCCAUCUUAAUACGACUGCUGAACUUCUCAAGUGUGUGCUAGCAUAACUAGAUUGACUCUACUCUGCUUUAUUAUGAUUUUGUCAAUGUUCUGUUCAUUUUAUGUAAUUCUAUUAUAAAAAUCUUCAAAGUUUUCUUCAAUUGGAUCUCGUUUCAAGUUACAACUUCGAUCUUUGAUGGAAACCUUAAAUUCAACAGAACCUCAUUACAUCAGAUGUGUCAGGCCAAACAAUGUUCUCAAGCCCGCUAUUUUUGGAAAUCUCAAUAUCAACCAACAAUUGCGAUGUGGUCUGUGAUGACAAAGUUGCUUGCCAAAUGAUACUAGAUAAGAUGGGUAUGAAAGACUAUCAGAUAGGCAAGACAAAAAUUUUCCUAAGAGCUAGUCAAAUGGGUGAGUUGGAUGCAAGAAGAGCAGAGGUUCUUGGAAAGCCAACUAGAGUCCUUCAAAGGCAAAUACAUACACAUAUUGCAUGCAAGGAAUCCAAAUAGUUGCGUAUUGCGAGGUACCCUGUAUUCUCUCUAAAUAUACUUGUUUAGUAGUUCAUAACCUUAAUUAGUCCCUUGUAAGUACAAGCUUUUUUUCUUAGUAGAUAUUAUAUAGACACAUCCUUUGUAAGGGUUCAUUUAUCUUUCAGUACUGAUACUAGAUUGGCAAACUUUAAGAUGUCUCCUUUAUGCUAAUCUUCCUAAUAAUUAGAACCUUAAUGGUGGAAAGCAAUUAUAUGUCUAGCUUUUCGAAAGUAAAUUUCUUUUUCAUUAUGGGUUGGCUAUGUUAAGUUUCUAUUCUUGAAUUUAUAUAUUCAUCUGGUUCUUUUCAAUGAUAAAUAGGAAUAUUGGCCUAAAAGCUCUAUAAGCAGUUACGUCGUGAAGCAGCAGCUCUGAAAAUAGAAAAGAACUUCAAAGGAUACAUUGCUAGAAAACCUUUCUUAAGUGUAUGAUCGUCUGCAAUAAUAAUACGGACAGGUUUAAAGGCUAUGAAGGCUCGUGAUGAAUUUAGAUUUAGAAAGCAAAUAAAGGCUUUAAUUCAUAUCUGGGUUCUACUUUUUAUAUUCAUACUUUAUAGGUUAUAGACUUUCAGUUAAGAAAAUGGAAAGAUACAAUUCCUACUUUCUUAUUUGCCCUGCUAUAAUGAUCUUUUUGUCAAUAUCUUCAGGCUAAUUUGUGUUGUCAAAUUGCAUUUUCAUAUUAUAAAAACACUUGUGGAGAACUUGGGUACCUGGCUAGGAAUUGUACAAAACAAUUUGCUAGGUAUUUAACUAGAACUCAAUAACAAAGACGAGUGUUUGCUAUGACUGUAAGAUCUGAGAAAUUUACUUGCCAAUUAUAUAAUUAAAAUUGAGCUAAGAGUGUUUAAUAUGUCCGGUCUGGGUUAAAAGUUUAAAUUUUAUUAUUUAAAAAAUUAUAGAUAAAAUUUGAGCUCAGAAAAUUAUUUGGAGUGCGAAAACAUGAUUAUUUAUGAAAAAAUACAUACUAGUAUCAUAAUUAACUUACACGCUUAGAUCUGUCUAGUAUUGCGUAUGAGAGAAAUAAAAAUAUAAAAAUGACAAUAAAAUAAAAUAAAAAUCGUAACACAUAUCUUUAAAUAUUGGCCCUAGGUAGGGCCAAUGAGUAAAAGGAUAAAAAUGCUCCUCAUUUAAGGAUUCAAGGAUGUGACUCCAUCCCUUAUUUCACACACUUGGGAAAAAUAAGAGGGAGAGCUCGAGAUUGAGAGAGGAGAAAAGGAAACUCCAAAACAAAUACUAUUUACUUUUACUUUCAAAUUCACUUUUCUCAUAAAUCGAAGCUCCGAUCGAUGACCCGUUUGUAGUUAUGCAUCGCUCUCAUCUCCCUCUACGUUGCUAUAUAAUUUUUGCAGUGAGUAAUCUCCAAACUAUACCUUAUUUCUCUAUUCUUCUCAGUUUUUGCAUUUUGGAUAGUGUGGGUAUUGAAAAUUGUGAUUUUAAUGCUUUAGGAGGAGCUCAAACUCAAAUUCUAGCGAGGUUUUAACUCAUGUUCAUGUGAAAUAAGAAUUUAUUGAAGCUUGGAUUAGUCAGGAAUCGAUUGAGGCUUGGAUUGGCCGGAGAGAAAGACUCAAGAGGUUGGGAUCAUCGUCAACUAAGGUACGGGUUUUGGUUUCGGAUAAUCAUUAUGUAAUACUAUGUAAAAUCCUAAGAUAGUUGACAUUAAGAUAUUGUUGAAUUAAUGUUGAUGAUGGUUUAGUGUUUUUGCCUUGCUUAGAUUUGUGAAAUUGGGAUGAUAUUAUUGCUAAGUUAAAUUGCCUAGAUUAUUAAAAAUGAGAAUUGUGAUGGUUAUUUGACAAUUCUUUAGAACUGAGAUUGGUGGUGGUUAAUUGUCUAGAUUGUUGAGAAUGAAUUUUGAUGAAUAUGGUAUUGGAUGAUGUUGUAGGUUGAAUGAAAAUGGUCAGAGACCUUGAUUGAUUGAGUUUCUAUUGCUUGAAAUACAUUGAUGUGUUCUGGUCCAAUUGUUGAAAUUGAAAUUCUUAUAAAGAAUAUGUGAAAUUAAAUUUGGGGUGGUUAUUUAUUCAUUGUUUGGAAAAUUUUAUGAGGAUAAGUUUAAGAAUGAGAUGAGAUUAGGAUUUGAGUGAGCUAUGUAAUGAGGAGUUAGGUGGAAACAAUAGUGAAAUUGAUGAGAAAUAGAAUUAGGUUUUAAUUUGGCAAAGUUGGUAUAGAAUGGAUGUAUAUUGGUGUAAAAUUGGGGAUUUGUUCAAAUGGUGCAAAAAAAUCUGUACUAUGUCAGAUUUUUAGCCGAACUUUGAAGCACUAUAACUUGGUGUUCAGAACUUGAAAAUGAAUGAAAUUUGUGAUGAAAUAAAAUUGGGGAUGUCUAAUUUAAUUUCGUUAAAGAACGAUGUCAAAAUGAGUUUUGGAGAGAAAGUUAUGAUCUUUUGAAUUUUCUUAGUCUCAAAACGAGAUUUUUUUGAGACUAGUGUUGGGUUCCACACGUAUGCACGAUGCCUGAAUAUGCACCAUUCCCUUGAAUAUUACGAAAUGCUGAUUUUGAAUUGUUAAGCCUUUUCCGCAAGCCUGUACCCCUCUAUAACCUGCAUAUGGAGUCUAAUAACCAUUUUAAAAGCUUUGAAUAUGUUGGAGGUGGGCAUAAUGAAUUUUAUUAAAUCAUUCUCAAAUAAAAGACUUGUUAAAUGAGAUAUAAAUAUUGUGAGGAUGGUGAUUUUUUCCGUCUACAGCGAGGAUGGUGGCUUUGUCCCACUCAGAGAUAGACAAGUAAGGUUGAGGAUUCCAUCUCUUAUGUUGUGGUAGACAAGAGGGGUUGAUGAUUCCCUUUCAUGUUGUAUCGGGGAGGGGGGAGAUUGGAUAGAAGGUUGAGGAUUUUCUUCGGUUCAAUUCCCAACUGUGGUUAGGUUGAAGAUUUUCUUUUUGGUUGCAUCACAAUCUAUCUAAUCGUUAAGUGUGGUCGGGCAUUAUAUCUCGAAUAGCACUGCCUCCAAGAGAAGGUAACAGAGCACUCUUCCUACGAGACCAGUUUAUAUACACAUGAGAUAUUGUUCCUCUUGGGGAUGCACAACAGAAAGAGUUGAUGACAUAUCAUCUUAAGUUGUUUUUAGGGUUUUUUUUUUCAUAUGUUUUUUUAAGUUUUCUUAGAUUUUUAAGCAAAUUUCUUAUGUUUAGUGGAUUCUCAUAACUAAUAAAAAUUUUGGAGUUGUGUUAGUAUUAUUGUGUUUUCAAGGUUUUUGGCUGAAAAUAAUUAAGGAUUAAAAGCUUUUUGACAAGAAAAUACACAUACAGUUCAAGAACGGUUUAACCGAGUCCAAACUAGACACCCAAGUAUUCAAACAAGGGAUGCCCGAUGGUCCUCCUCAGCUUAACAUGGACGCCCGGCGGCAGCACAUGCAAGCCCAGCGUCCCCUUCAUGUGAUCAUGCACGCUCGGCAUGCCUUCCUUCUUAACACCCACGCCCGACUUCUCUCAACACAAGCCCGGCGUCCAAGCUUUCUGGAAGUUGCAAUUGGGCCUACGCCCAUAUUCAAGGAUGCAAGCCCCACUCCUAGGAUUCAAUUCUUCACCACUUAACAAGCCCAAAUUCAAUUAUCAAAUCAUUAGAAGCCUUAAAUCUCAUCCGAAGAUUGAAGAUUCAAGAGA